rnacentral:rRNA from 1 species
UUGCGCAUGNACGAAACUCUGACGCAGCCAUGCCGCGUGCAGGAUGAAUNCCCUAUGGGUUGUAAACUGCUUUUAUACNAGAAGAAACCUUNCUACGUAGUACNAAGUUGACGGUAUUGUACAGAAUAAGCACCGGCUAACUCCGUGCCAGCAGCCGCGGUAAUACGGG